rnacentral:lncRNA from 1 species
GUUGAGGAAGAGGACGUCGAGGUCGAGCGAGAAGACGGCCGGCGGGAGGAGGCCGUGGAGGAAGUUGAAGCGGAGGUCGAGGAAGGUGAGGUUGGUUGCGGUGAGGACCUGCGGCGGGAAGGGGCCGGUGAGGUUGUUGUUGCUGAGGUCGAGCUCGAAGAGGGAGUGGACGGUGUUGAUGCCGGGGGGGACGCCGCCGGAGAAGAAGUUGGAGUUGGCGUGGAAGACGAUGAUGUCGGUGAGGUCUUCGAGGAAGUUGUUGAGGGCGAGGGGGCAGUUAG